AUUUAUGUAGUUUACCCAAAACGUUACACUUUCACUGUAAAAACAAAUCAAAUUUUAUAAAUA
rnacentral:tRNA from 1 species